rnacentral:rRNA from 1 species
ACGGGAGGCAGUAGUGGGGAAUAUUGCACAAUGGGCGCAAGCCUGAUGCAGCGAUGCCGCGUGAGGGAAGAAGGUUUUCGGAUUAUAAACCUCUGUCAACAGGGACGAAAAUGACGGUACCUGUGAAGGAAGCUCCGGCUAACUACGUGCCAGCAGCCGCGGUAAUACGUAGGGAGCAAGCGUUAUCCGGAAUUACUGGGUGUAAAGGGAGUGUAGGCGGGACUGUAAGUCAGAUGUGAAAUAUGCCGGCUCAACUGGCGGACUGCAUUUGAAACUGCGGUUCUUGAGUGAAGUAGAGGUAAGCGGAAUUCCUAGUGUAGCGGUGAAAUGCGUAGAUAUUAGGAGGAACAUCAGUUGCGAAGGCGGCUUACUGGGCUUUAACUGGCGCUGAGGCUCGAAAGCGUGGGGAGCAAACAGGAUUAGAUACCCUGGUA